rnacentral:miRNA from 1 species
GGCCUCACCAACCGGAAGGAAUCCUUUCCGGUCAAUGAGGUUGUUAUACCUCAUUGAUCGGAAGGAUUUCCUUCAGAUCGAUGAGGUACAACAACCCCAUCGACCAGAAGGAAUCCCUUCCGGUUGAUGAGGUU